GGCUAGUCCGAUGGCAGUGGGUUAUCAGAACUUAUUAACAUUAGUGUCACUAAAGUUGGUAUACCACCCCCCACUGCUAAAUUUGACUGGCUUAAA
rnacentral:Y_RNA from 1 species